CCCCCACCACCACAACAUCUACACUGUGUCAUCCAGAUGGAACUUUCCUUCCCACCACCACAACAUCUACACUGUGUAAUCCAGAUGGACCUUUCCUUCCCCCACCACUACAACAUCUACACUGUGUCAUCCAGAUGGACCUUUCCUUCCCCCACCACCACAACAUCUACACUGUGUCAUCCAGAUGGAACUUUCCUUCCCACCACCACAACAUCUACACUGUGUCAUCCAGAUGGAGCUUUCCUUCCCCCACCACCACAACAUCUACACUGUGUCAUCCAGAUGGACCUUUCCUUCCCCCACCACCACAACAUCUACACUGUGUCAUCCAGAUUGAACUUUCCUUCCCCCACCACCACAACAUCUACACUGUGUAAUCCAGAUGGACCUUUCCUUCCCCCACCACCACAACAUCUACACUGUGUCAUCCAGAUGGACCUUUCCUUCCCACCACCACAACAUCUUCACUGUGUCAUCCAGAUGGAACUUUCCUUCCCCCACCACCACAACAUCUACACUGUGUCAUCCAGAUGGAACUUUCCUUCCCCCACCACCACAACAUCUACACUGUGUCAUCCAGAUGGACCUUUCCUUCCCCCACCACCACAACAUCUACACUGUGUCAUCCAGAUGGAACUUUCCUUCCCACCACCACAACAUCUACACUGUGUCAUCCAGAUGGAACUUUCCUUCCCCCACCACCACAACAUCUACACUGUGUCAUCCAGAUGGAACUUUCCUUCCCCCACCACCACAACAUCUACACUAUGUAAUCCAGAUGGAACUUUCCUUCCCCCACCACCACAACAUCUACACUGUGUCAUCCAGAUGGAACUUUCCUUCCCCCACCACCACAACAUCUACACUGUGUCAUCCAGAUGGACCUUUCCUUCCCCCACCACCACAACAUCUACACUAUGUAAUCCAGAUGGAACUUUCCUUCCCCCACCACCACAACAUCUACACUGUGUAAUCCAGAUGGAACUUUCCUUCCCCCACCACCACAACAUCUACACUAUGUAAUCCAGAUGGAACUUUCCUUCCAACCACCACAACAUCUACACUGUGUAAUCCAGAUGGACCUUUCCUUCCCCCACCACUACAACAUCUACACUGUGUCAUCCAGAUGGACCUUUCCUUCCCCCACCACCACAACAUCUACACUGUGUCAUCCAGAUGGAACUUUCCUUCCCACCACCACAACAUCUACACUGUGUCAUCCAGAUGGAGCUUUCCUUCCCCACCACCACAACAUCUACACUGUGUCAUCCAGAUGGACCUUUCCUUCCCCCACCACCACAACAUCUACACUGUGUCAUCCAGAUGGAACUUUCCUUCCCCCACCACCACAACAUCUACACUGUGUAAUCCAGAUGGAACUUUCCUUCCCCCA
rnacentral:lncRNA from 1 species